rnacentral:rRNA from 1 species
UAGGGAAUAUUAGAAAUGGACGAAAGUCUGAUCUAGCAACACCGCGUGUGCGAGGAAGGCCUUCGGGUCGUAAAGCACUUUUUGGAAGGAAUAGGAAGGAAUGUACUUCCAGAAUAAGUCUCGGCUAACUACAUGCCAGCAGCCGCGGUAACACGUAGGAGGCAAACGUUAUCCGGAUUUACUGGGCGUAAAGCGCGUGUAGGUGGUACUGUAAGUAGGGCGUGAAAGCUCCUGGCUCAACUGGGAGAGGCCGUUCUAAACUACAGAACUAGAGGAUGGUAGAGGGAGGUGGAAUUCCAGGUGUAGCGGUGGAAUGCGCAGAUAUCUGGAAGAACACCGGUGGCGAAGGCGGCCUCCUGGACCAUUCCUGACACUCAGACGCGAAAGCUAGGGUAGCAAACGG